AAGAAGGAUUUUGGUCUAGGAUACAAGAAAUUAAAAAGAGAAAAGGGAGAAAAAAAAAGGUGAAUAGUAGCAGAAACAGAGGUUGAGCAGGGGCAAUAGUUUUGUCUUCCGUCCAGGUGACUUUGGUUCAUCUUUCACCGUCAAUUUUUGUAUAUGUUUAAGGUCUAUAUGUGUAGAAGUUAUGAUUAAACUUUAGUAAUUUUUCAACGGUUGGAUUUGGAAAAUAAAAUUAUUGAACAUAGACUGUCUGCAAUUAAAAUUCUGAAUUUUGGCUACUGAAAUUUGAGAAAAAUAAAUAGUUAGGAUGCUUAUAAAAUUAUGAAAUUUGGUACAAAUGAUAUUUUGGAUGUUGAGGCUGCUGUGUUAAAAUUUGGUGAAUUUUAGACUUGUGGUUUAUGAGAUAUAAAUUGUUUUGCAUGAGCUGUCUGAGUAAGACUGAUUUCUGCAAAAAUUCAGAUUGUGAAGGGUUGAAUGAAUGUUUUGAUAUCUCAUGAUAUAGAGAUGAUUUGAUGCUGAAAUUUUUACUGAUAUUGUAUAGGGAUGUCUUGAAUAUAUGGUAUAAAUUUGGGACUUAUCUAACGGUUAGAUCAUUAUAUAUAAAUUUGAAUGCACAAGCUGCCAGAUUGGGUAUUAAUGGGUUGUGGAUUUAAGAUUUAUGAUGGGAGUUUAGUCCAAUUUAAGGGGAAAUGCUAUUGAAUUUUUAUUGGAUAUUUAAUUUAGGAAAGUGAAGUUAUAAUUGAUUAUGAUUAUUAUGGUUCUAGGAGAAAUCUUGAAGAAUAACAAGCUCAAGGUUGGUUUCAAAAAGGUACUGAAGAUUUGGACAGAGGGCCCAGUAGACCACAGAUUCGGUAAGGCAGUUCACAGUUCUGCAUAGUGUCUGUGUCACCUCACUGUCUGCAGUGCAUUGGUAGGAUGCCAGAUGUCAUUUUGGUAUUUUGUAAUUGAUUUUUAUUUUCCUUUGUGUAAAUGAAACUUAUGUAAUGUAUUUUGAUUUUCAUGUAAAUAAUGCAAAAUUGUGUUUGUAAAUGGAAAAGUGAAUAUUGAUCUGUGACUGUUACAUGACUAUCAAAUGUGAUGAAUGAUUGAGAAACGAAUGGUUGAAAAAUAUUGAGAUUUUGAUAUUGGAGUUUGUGAAUAGAUGAAUAUGAUUAUUAGAAGUGUUUUUCACAGGUUCCGAAGAACUGUUUUCUCCAUUUUUAGCCGGUACUCCGCCGGAUUUUUUUUUAAAUUUUCGGAACCUCAAAUAAAUUACAAUUUCAAUAAAUGAAUUAUAUUUCACAAGUUAUAUUCAAAACUACGAUAAAAAUGAAUUAAGAUAAAAUAGAGUGCUCCGACACACUGAGUGGCAUAACUUGCUCGGCUACACUGUAGUCGGGUAAGGGGUGUCACAUUUAUUGGUAUCAGAGCGCGGUUUAGGCGUUUCUGGACCUAGAUAGACUGCAUAUCAUGCAUUGCAUUCAUAAGAGUCGAGGUGACACUAUUGCAGAUCUGUAUUUCCCGUUUAUUUUAGGUUAAGGUAUGGAAUAAGAGAGUGAAGAGACAAUGAGAUAGUGAAUGGACAUGAGAAGGAGACUGUAUUUAAGAUGAAAAAGGAUGAGUACAUAACUGUUUGAGGAUAGGAUUGAAACUAAGGAGAAAGUGAAGUAGGAUAACACGGAAAGGUGAAGAAAUAAAGAGGUAUUAGCUCCUUGGUUAUUUACAUUGGGUAAAUUUCGAGGACGAAAUUUA
rnacentral:misc_RNA from 1 species